UACACAAAAACAAGAAACGAAGGAAUUUACGAUCACCUGGUAUAUUUACCUAAUCCUUGUCUUUAAAACUGCAUUGAAAACUGCGGAAUACCCAAGGUUAUUUGAAAGAAAGUAACUUUUUCAAGUACAAUUGAAACAAUGGGGGUUCUCAAUGACAAACGAUGUUGUGGCUUGGCCAAACUCUAACAUAGACAAAGAAGAUAGGAUAAAUGUAAGCACGGACACGCAGGGCAGUACUUGUAAUCAAGUGAACUUAUAGACAGGCAUAAAGAAAACUACGCGACUGGAACAAAUGUUCAAACACAGAGACGACGUGGAAGUGCAAACAACAAUCUUUGAAAGGAUAUGGCCUUCUGAGGGUUUUUCGAAGAAUAAUCAUUGCUUAAAAAUAUGCGUAAAAAAAGUAACCCUGGAAAUAGCCCAGCAACAGAAUAUCUAAUGCCGAUAUUGUUACCUCUUGCUUGGUUGCUACUUGUGGUUUUUUGUGGUAUGCUGUGUCAAAAAGAGGUGGUUCUAUAAAUGCUGCAAAUGUAGAAAAGGGUUGACACAAAAGCAAACGGCUAGCAAUGAAAACAGUCAAGUAUCCGAAAAAGAUCUAAGAAAUCUGGCAAAAUAUCCUAUUUAUACUCUUGGUGAAAACGGAGGCGUUCUUGUCGCGUCUCUGGACGAAACAGUUUUAAAUGGAAGAAACUCUAGAGAUGGUUUAUCAAGGAAUGAACAACCUGAUUGUAGUAAAUAUAGAAAAGAACACAUUUCUGUCGUACCAAACACUACAUACACACUCAUGAUGAACGAUCUAUCAUCAAUCACAGAAACUUCAUAUAUUAGCUCUGAGAGACUUUAAUUUCAGAGUCUACAGUUACGUUUGAUAUGAUCGAAAAGACUGCACAGUUAUUUUCUACAGACAUUGUUUGAAAAUGAUACAAAGGUAAAAGACUCUAUCAUUAUAUGCCAGCCAAAUAUAGUUGUCGAAUACAGGAGCAGUUGAUGAUUCACUUACCUGUCUACUGCUUGAAUAAAAAAGGCACAUUGAGCUUGGAACAUUUUUAUGGAAAUUACUAGAAGAUGUACAUCUUUAAAAUCUACUUUGUACAAAGUUACGCUGUUAUUUGCUUGAUACAUAUAUACAUAAAAUUUUUCCAACAUGCAGUGGAGUUAAAAAAUAAAAGGGGGCAUUGAAACGUUAAACGCAACUCCAAAAGAAAGGAAUUUACCUAAUACUAUACCAUGAAACUAAUUUUAUAAAAUGAUUGAGAAAGCUUUUCAUAGCAUUGCUUCAAGGAUGCAUACAUGUAUAAGUAGCUUUUCCUUUUGUGUUGUAUUAAGAUAAACAUUGGAUUUUCAGGGUCCGAUCAACAAAAGGUCCCUGAAACCACAGUAUUAAAAUAGAAAAAAAAAUUCAACUGUAUUGUAGUUAUCUUUUAUCAGUUCUGAGAGACCUUUUUGCAAAUAAGUUUAAUAUUCCACCUUAUGGCAUUUUUGCUGCUAUACAACCCCCCAAUAUUUAAUUACUUUA